rnacentral:rRNA from 1 species
GAUGAACGCUGGCGGCGUGCCUAAUACAUGCAAGUCGAGCGAACGGACGAGAAGCUUGCUUUUCUGAUGUUAGCGGCGGACGGGUGAGUAACACGUGGAUAACCUACCUAUAAGACUGGGAUAACUUCGGGAAACCGGAGCUAAUACCGGAUAAUAUUUUGAACCGCAUGGUUCAAAAGUGAAAGACGGUCUUGCUGUCACUUAUAGAUGGAUCCGCGCUGCAUUAGCUAGUUGGUAAGGUAACGGCUUACCAAGGCAACGAUGCAUAGCCGACCUGAGAGGGUGAUCGGCCACACUGGAACUGAGACACGGUCCAGACUCCUACGGGAGGCAGCAGUAGGGAAUCUUCCGCAAUGGGAGAAAGCCUGACGGAGCAACGACGCGUGAGUGAUGAAGGUCUUCGGAUCGUAAAACUCUGUUAUUAGGGAAGAACAUAUGUGUAAGUAACUGUGCACAUCUUGACGGUACCUAAUCAGAAAGCCACGGCUAACUACGUG